AGAAAAAUUAUAACAAAAUUUCCUGAGGAGUUUGGGAAAUAAUCUUGGUGGAUCCCGCCACGGAUACUGUUCGGAUUGAAGCUGCUGGGGCUUUGGAACAAUUAUUAUCCCCGCAACCACUCUCCGGUCCAAGAUACAGCUGUCAAAAGGUGCUCUGCGUUCCGGGAAAAGGUUUCCCGGAAGGUCUACUUGUCGUCAGCAGCCCCUGUUGGAGGAGACACAGGUGACGAGAGUUCGACCGGAAAAUGCGAGGUGGCCAAGACCGGAUUCCUUAGCACAGAUCCAGUUGCGGAUCAGGACCGGAAUCUUCCAGUUCUGCGGUCAACACAGGUGCGCAAAACCAAAGAUGAUCAUUUCCUCGGAAGUGGAUGGAAAAAUCAAAUAAAAAAUGUAGUGAAAGGGAGCAGACCAAAAAAA